rnacentral:rRNA from 1 species
UUCAUCUCGUUAGAUCACCGAAGUCAAGCAUCAUUGGGCGCGGUCAGUACUUGGGUGGGUGACCACCUAGGAACACCGCGUGCCGUU